UUAUGAUUGUUAGUGAUUGCUAUAAUUUGACUAAUUAUUGCCUAAACAAUGAAAGUUGGCUGGGACCCAAAUUGCAACAAAUGCUUUUUUAUGUGAGGAGAACAAGGAAACUGAAUGCUUUUUUCUUUCGUCAUUCGUUCAUAGGGACUGCAAUUAAUCAUAAAUAUUGCACGGGACCGGGGCACGGAGAGUAGAAAGCUUCCUUUAUUUUCCAGGAUCAUCUUUCUUGCAUGGGAUGGAAGGCAACCCUCCAGAGAAAAAUGAAUGAUCAUGUUUAGAGAAACAUCAUUUUGACUAAUUGGAAGGAUAGUGGAAAAAUCCCACAGGAAAUGGUCCGAAGCCUGUGACUUUUAUAGUCAAUACUCUUCUUAGGCAGAGCAAACAUUGUAUUUAAAUUCAAGGUACCAUCUGUCCAACCUUCUAAUCUGACCACAGGUUCAAGAAAACCAUUGCCAGAUAAGGAAAUAAUAAAAAUGUUUCAUGAAAUAUAGGCUGAACUUGUGUCUAGACAAUAAGAAUGUGAUUACAAACAAGGAUGCUAUCUUUUGAAAAGACACAUGCACUUUUAGGCAAUUUAAUAUAUUACAUAAUUUCUGAAACAUUCUUAAGCUUUCUAGCCUUUUUCAGUAAUUUCUUUGUCUGUUUUGACCACAGCUUUAAAUGAAUGGAUCAUAAGAGAAAUUGGUCAUUGUCACUUUUUGAAGCUUGAGAUCUGCAUGAUUGCAGAUAACACAGAACCCCAAAAUUCAGAAUAGAAAGAUUGGGGAAGAAAAUAGUGUGCACUGUUUAACUGUGCCCCUAAGAUUUUAGGAAUUGCACAGGGUUCCUGGGAUUCCUUAGCAUCUCUUCUCAGGCUGAGAAACACAGGUCCUUAAAGGUGAGGGGUGGACUGCAAGGGUCCCACUGCUGAAGAAGUGCUGCUGGGAUAUCCCAAGCUCCCUAGUCAGAGUUGGCAAGUUUAUUCGAAGCACCUUGAGGCAGUGAGAUUUUCCCAGUCAGAGUCAUAUGAAUGAGAAUUCUAUUUGUCUUAUGGCCAGUUCCCCCAAAUUUUAGGUAGAGAGUUGCCCUGUCUUCCCCAACCCUUUGCAAGGAGAUUUACACCUUGAAAUGUGUUCACAGAGGCUGUAAUUCCAUGCCCCAGAAUUCUAGAACCUCAGUGCUAGAGAAAUAUCUAUCAAAAAGAGUAACAGAUUGAAUAGGGCAAGUAAGCCUUCAAUGAUAAUUUCACAUUCCAAACUUAAUAGAAUGGCUUCUGAAGUAUUGAAUGAAAUAAAUUGCCUUUAGUAAAGCACAAUGUAGCAUAAACUAAAAAUAUAAGUUCCUUAUUUAAAUCUCAUUUGAACAUUUUAUGAUGCUUACCUUGGAGAUUGUCUCAUUACCUUGGCAACUAAUGUUGCAUAGGCAGAGAUAAGCUAACUGUUGUAGAGUUGGACUUACGGAAACAGAAGAGGAAUUUCCUUUCUAUUCUUCACUUCUCGAAGUGUGUUUGAAGAAGCAAAUUAGUGGCUCCUGGGAAGGUGUUAAUACGUCACAGAGCAAAGAGGAAUAUUUCAAGGGAGGUAAAUAUACACACAAUUUUCUGAAGGUGCACCAAGUUCACUUUGUGGUUUUCCUCAUUGAUUUAGAACUAUAUAUUUUUUGCAUCAAUGGCCUUCCUUCUCCUUUAUAACUUGCGACUUCAUUUGUGGGACUCAUUUCAUUAAGUUUGUCUCCAUGAACACUAACCACCCAAUAUGCCAUACUGUGAGUAUUUUUGUCUAAGAUGUAAAUAAAAAAUUCUUAACCUG